UAGAUUCUUCGGAUGAAGGUGCUGAGCGGCGGACGGGUGAGUAACGCGUGGGUACCUGCCUCAUACAGGGGGAUAACAGUUAGAAAUGACUGCUAAUACCGCAUAAGACCGCAUGGUAAAAACUCCGGUGGUAUGAGAUGGACCCGCGUCUGAUUAGCUAGUUGGUAAGGUAACGGCUUACCAAGGCGACGAUCAGUAGCCGACCUGAGAGGGUGACCGGCCACAUUGGGACUGAGACACGGCCCAAACUCCUACGGGAGGCAGCAGUGGGGAAUAUUGCACAAUGGGGGAAACCCUGAUGCAGCGACGCCGCGUGAGCGAAGAAGUAUUUCGGUAUGUAAAGCUCUAUCAGCAGGGAAGAAAAUGACGGUACCUGACUAAGAAGCACCGGCUAAAUACGUGCCAGCAGCCGCGGUAAUACGUAUGGUGCAAGCGUUAUCCGGAUUUACUGGGUGUAAAGGGAGCGUAGACGGAUGGGCAAGUCUGAUGUGAAAACCCGGGGCUCAACCCCGGGACUGCAUUGGAAACUGUUCAUCUAGAGUGCUGGAGAGGUAAGUGGAAUUCCUAGUGUAGCGGUGAAAUGCGUAGAUAUUAGGAGGAACACCAGUGGCGAAGGCGGCUUACUGGACAGU
rnacentral:rRNA from 1 species